GAUGAACGCUGGCGGCGUGCCUAAUACAUGCAAGUCGAGCGAAUGGAUUAAGAGCUUGCUCUUAUGAAGUUAGCGGCGGACGGGUGAGUAACACGUGGGUAACCUGCCCAUAAGACUGGGAUAACUCCGGGAAACCGGAGCUAAUACCGGAUAACAUUUUGAACCGCAUGGUUCGAAAUUGAAAGGCGGCUUCGGCUGUCACUUAUGGAUGGACCCGCGUCGCAUUAGCUAGUUGGUGAGGUAACGGCUCACCAAGGCAACGAUGCGUAGCCGACCUGGGAGGGUGCUCGGCCACACUGGGAAUGAGACAAGGCCCAGACUACUACGGGAGGCAGCAGUAGGGAAUCUUCCGCAAUGGACGAAAGUCAGACGGAGCAACGCCGCGUGAGUGAUGAAGGCUUUCGGGUCGUAAAACUCUGUUGUUAGGGAAGAACAAGUGCUAGUUGAAUAAGCUGGCACCUUGACGGUACCUAACCAGAAAGCCACGGCUAACUACGUGCCAGCCGCCGCGGUAA
rnacentral:rRNA from 1 species